rnacentral:rRNA from 1 species
UUAUGACCUGGGCUACACACGUGCUACAAUGGACAGAACAAAGGGCAGCGAAACCGCGAGGUUAAGCCAAUCCCACAAAUCUGUUCUCAGUUCGGAUCGCAGUCUGCAACUCGACUGCGUGAAGCUGGAAUCGCUAGUAAUCGCGGAUCAGCAUGCCGCGGUGAAUACGUUCCCGGGCCUUGUACACACCGCCCGUCACACCACGAGAGUUUGUAACACCCGAAGUCGGUGAGGUAACCUUUUAGGAGCCAGCCGCCGAAGGUGGGACAGAUGAUUGGGGUGAAGUCGUAACAAGGUAGCCGUAUCGGAAGGUGCGGCUGGAUCACCU